ACACGUAGGGGGCAAGCGUUGUCCGGAUUUAUUGGGCGUAAAGAGCUCGUAGGUGGCUCAGUAAGUCGGGUGUGAAACCUCCAGGCUCAACCUGGAGACGCCACCCGAUACUGCUGUGGCUAGAGUCCAGUAGGGGAGCGUGGAAUUCCUGGUGUAGCGGUGAAAUGCGCAGAUAUCAGGAGGAACACCAGUGGCGAAGGCGGCGCUCUGGGCUGGAACUGACACUGAGGAGCGAAAGCGUGGGGAGCAAACAGGAUUAGAUACCCUGGUAGUCCACGCCGUAAACGUUGGGUACUAGGUGUGGGGUCUUAUCAACGGAUUCCGUGCCGAAGCUAACGCAUUAAGUACCCCGCCUGGGGAGUACGGCCGCAAGGCUAAA
rnacentral:rRNA from 1 species